GAUGAACGCUGGCGGCGUGCCUAAUACAUGCAAGUCGAGCGAAGCGGGGACGGGUGAGUAACACGUGUGUAACCUCCUAUAAGACGGGGAUAACCUCCGGAAACCGGUGCUUAACCGGAUACUUUUAGAUGGAUCCGCGCUGCAUUAGCUAGUUGGUAAGGUAACGGCUUACCAAGGCAACGAUGCAUAGCCGACCUGAGAGGGUGAUCGGCCACACUGGAACUGAGACACGGUCCAGACUCCUACGGGAGGCAGCAGUAGGGAAUCUUCCGCAAUGGGCGAAAGCCUGACGGAGCAACGCCGCGUGAGUGAUGAAGGGCUUCGGAUCGUAAAGCUCUGUUAUUAGGGAAGCGGUACCUAAUCAGAAAGCCACGGCUAACUACGUGCCAGCAGCCGCGGUAAUAC
rnacentral:rRNA from 1 species